rnacentral:lncRNA from 1 species
UGUUUGGAUUAUUUACUCUAUAAAAUUUGCAUUAGAUAAGUUCUACAUACAUUGUCAUUAUACAUAUAUAUAGCAAUACACAUUCAUACAAAUGAUGAUACAUCACAGUAUUGUUAAUUAAAAAGGGACAAAAUAAACGUACAGGGGCUGUUCUGGCUUGAAACCAGAAAAAUUGCCAUAUACUAUAUUUUAUCACCAGUUUUAAAAAUUUGGAGUCAACUUUAGAGUCAGCUAGAGUUUUGAUUUCUUCUACAAAAAUUGAAACUCUGUUCAAUUUAAGUUUCUUGUGCCACUCAGUCUGAUUUUUUUUUCAUUUGACAUGUUACACUAUAAAGGUUACAAUUAAUUGCAUAUGGUUGGAUCGUCAGUGGCAGCAAAAGCUUUUAGGUCUGAAAAUUUCACACAACCAUGAUAUUUUGACAAAUUGUCCAAAAUGGGCCUACUUUGGAGAACAUUAUGUACUUUUAUGAAAAGAAUUGAUUUAUUUAGCAAUGAAACUUUUGAAAUAUAUACCCAUUUACAAACCAAAUUAUGACCUUUUUGUUCUUUUUUGAUAAAGUUAAUAAUUUACACCAGAUUGUGCAAUAAGUGAACCUUGUCCUUUUGUCUGAAAAGUUUCACAGAACUUUUUUGUAAAAUUUUAAAUAAUUAUUGUUAAAAAUUGACUUUAAAGGGCAAUAACUCCUUGAGGGGUCUUUUGACCAUUUUGGUCAUGUAAAAUUAUUUUUGAUAGUUUAUUUCUAUCUGGUAUAAUAUUCAAGACCAUAUUAAACCAAACACUGCAAAAUUUUCUCAAAAAUUAAAAUUCAGGGGUAGCAACCCAACAAUAUUGUCCGAUUCGUCUGAAAAUUCUAGGGCAGAUAGAUCUUAACAUUUUACCCCCCCCCCUUUUUAGUGCCCCUUCAGAUUUAUACUAUAAAUGCUUUUGUUUCAGAGAUAUCAGCCAAAACCUACAUUUUACCCUUUAUAUUUUAUUUUUAGCCAUGACGGCCAUAUUGGUUGGCAGGCGGGGUCGUUAAGUCUUUUUUUUUAAACUCUAAUAAUGAUUGUGGUCCAGAAUGGUUAAAUUUGAUCAAGUAGUUUCAAAGGAUAAGAUUUUUGUAAAGGUUAACAACAAAGGAUGACAAAAGAAGUCAAAUGAUGACUUAUAAGAAUUUUCCGAACAAAACAAAACAAAAUUUAUAAGUUUUGUUUUCAGUCUGUCAUGUCUGUAUUCUAAUGUGUAUCUAAGUUACCACUUCCACAUAUUGCCAUUUAUGAGAAUAUGCCAAUGUAUGCGCUGUCAUGAAUCCCUUUAAACUACCAUGGUGACUAAACCCCUUAACCAUAUACAUCACUUUCAUGUUGUGUAUUGUCUGUUUGUAUACUCAUGGAAAUCUCUUUUUCACAAUGCUGAAUAAACCCUGUACCAUAUACAUCACUGGCAUGAGGUAAACUACAUGUUUGUUUACUCGUAUGUCUUUUUAAACUACAAAAAUGACUAAACCCCUUGCCACAUAUAUCACAAUUAAAAGGUUUACAUGGUUUGACUGUAUGUAUUCUCAUAUGUCUCUUUAAACUACUAGAUUGACUAAACCCUUUGCCACAUACGUCACAAUUAUGCAGUUUACAGGGUUCACCUGUGUGUAUUUUCAUAUGUCUCUUAAAAUUACUAAGAUGAUUAAACCUUUUCCCACAUACGUCACACUCGUGAGGUUUUAAACCUGUAUGUGUUCUCAUGUGAGCCUCUAAAUGACUUGGUCCACUAAACCCUUUACCACAUACAUCACAGUGAUGAUUAUUAUCACCUGUAUGUGUUCUCAUGUGUCUCUCUAAACUAUUAUACCGAUCAAACUGUUUAUCACAGAUAUCACAGUUAUAUGGUUCAUUAUCUGUAUGUGUUUUCAAAUGUCUUCGUAAAUUAGCAAGCUGACUAAACCUUCUACCACAUACAUCACAGCCAUGAGGUUUAUCGCCUGUAUGUAUUUUGAUGUGUUUCUGCAAAUUACUUAUAUGACUAAAGCGUUUACCACAGAAAUCACAGCCAUGAGGUUUAUCUCCAGUAUGUGUACUCAUAUGUGCCUGUAGGUCACUAUUGCGAGUAAAUUCACUAGCACACACAUCACAUUUAUGAGGUGUUUCACCAGUAUGUUUUCUCAAAUGUCUCAUUAAGUCACCUUUUCUAGAAAAUUCACUAGCACAAAUAUCACAUUUAAAAGGUUUUUCACCUGUGUGAGUUCUCGCAUGUCUCUCAAAGUCACUUUCUUGAGUAAAUUCUCUAGAACACACAACACAUUUAUGAUUUUUUUUACUUGUAUGUUUUUUCAUAUGUC